CUCUCCAUCUGCACAUCGUCGGAAAUGACAUUCACUGAAGGGGACAUGCCGGCAAUUCGGCUGUGGUGGUGUCUUCAGUUGAUGGAGAGAUUUUGCACUGACGGGGAUGGACAUAGAUUUGCGUUUUGGACGGAAGAAGCAUCUCUGCUUCUUCAGGGAACUCUCCAGCCAGUAUUCAGAGUUCGAAAGGCAACCACCUCCAAACCUUAAGAUGUUUUGACAACAGAAAGAAAGGAGGAACUGAGGACACUAUCCAGAGAUACCCACCGGGCUACUGCAAUCCCUUUUACUGACAAAUAAAUUAUGACUAAUUUCAUUUUUUUCUUGCCUUUUUAUUGAAACUAUUACUAUGCACUGUAACAUAACUCUAGCAGAGGAUAAUGACACAGCAUGAGGUUGUACGGGCUGUACAAGACUUAAGACAUAGCAAUUUACUGAUAACCCAAACAACCAAUCCGAGCAGGAAUAUGGAGCCAAAAAUAUGGUAAAAGUAAAUCAACAAUAACCAAGUAAAAUCCCAGUGAAAGGAAAGGUUUGUCAAUAGUUUAUUUACAUUAAUGAGUAUGAUAUUUGACCAAAAUAAAGUAAGAUUUGGUUGACUUCCAUGUCUUCAAAAAGUCUCAAACAGAGAGAGAAACACCAGGAAGAACAUGUUUUUGCAGAAAAUCCAUUACAAAUGAGAUUAGGUUUCAAUAUGAUUGCUGCAAAAGGAACAGUUGAU
rnacentral:lncRNA from 1 species